rnacentral:rRNA from 1 species
ACGAACGCUGGCGGCGUGGAUAAGACAUGCAAGUCGAGCGCUUAUCUUCCGGUAGCAAUAUUGGGGGGUAGGAGCGGCGCAAGGGUGCGUAACACGUGGAUCAUCUGCCUGGAAGUUCGGAAUAAUUCGGCGAAAGCCGGACUAAUGCCGGAUGUGGUUGGAAGACUAAAGUUGGGGACCGCAAGGCCUGACGCUUCCAGAUGAGUCCGCGGCCUAUCAGCUAGUUGGCGGGGUAACGGCCCACCAAGGCUAAGACGGGUAGCUGGUCUGAGAGGACGACCAGCCACACUGGAACUGAGACACGGUCCAGACACCUACGGGUGGCAGCAGUCGAGAAUUUUUCUCAAUGGGCGAAAGCCUGAAGGAGCGACGCCGCGUGGGGGAUGAAGGGCUUCGGCCCGUAAACCCCUGUCAUUUGCGAACAAGUGUUGCGGUUGAAUAUUCCGUAAUUUGAUUGUAGCGAAAGAGGAAGGGACGGCUAACUCUGUGCCAGCAGCCGCGGUAAUACAGAGGUCCCGAGCGUUGUUCGGAUUCACUGGGCGUAAAGGGUACGCAGGUGGGUUGGCAAGUUUGAUGUGAAAGCCCCGGGCUUAACCCGGGAAUGGCAUUGAAUACUGCUGAUCUGGAGGAUUGGAGGGGGGACUGGAAUUCUUGGUGUAGCAGUGAAAUGCGUAGAUAUCAAGAGGAACACCAGUGGCGAAGGCGAGUCCCUGGACAGAAACUGACACUGAGGCACGAAAGCUAGGGGAGCAAACAGGAUUAGAUACCCUGGUAGUCCUAGCCGUAAACGGUGGAUACUUGUGUAACGGGAAUUGAUCCCGUCGUGGCCGAAGCUAACGCGAUUAAGUAUGCGCCGCCUGGGAAGUACGGUCGCAAGCUUAAACUCAAAGAAAUUGACGGGGGCCCUGCACAAGCGGUGGAGUAUGUGGUUUAAUUCGACUGCAACGCGAAGAACCUUACCUGGCUCUGAACGGCUAUUGGUAGAACAUGAAAGUGGACGACUUUCCCGCAAGGGGAGCGACUAGUCACAGGUGCUGCAUGGCUGUCGUCAGCUCGUGUCGUGAGAUGUUGGGUUAAGUCCGCAACGAGCGCAACCCUGGCCUUAGUUGCCACUCCCGAGAGUCAGCUGAAGCACUCUGACAGGACUGCUCGCUUAAAACCGAGGAGGAAGGUGGGGAUGACGUCAAGUCCGUCAUGGCCCUUUACUGGCCAGGGCUAGCACACGUACUACAAUGGACGGCACAUGAGGUAAGCUAGACCGCUAGGUGGAGCCAAUCUCAAAAAACCGCGUUCUCAGUUCAGAUUGCAGUCUGCAACUCGACGGCAUGAAGCUGGAAUCGCUAGUAAUGCGCUGAUCAGCUACGCAGCGGUGAAUACGUUCCCGGCCUUGUACACACCGCCCGUCACAUCACUGAAAGCCAGGUUGUACCCGAAGUCCGCAAUUGCAACCGCAAGGAGGCAGUAGGCCGUCCAAGGUAUGGACUGGUGAUUGGGGAUG